UGCGGAGGAUCAUUACACAUUCGGGGCGCUUCGGCGCUCCUUAUACACCCACCCUCUGCCUACGUGUACCUCUAUAGCUUCCUCGGCGGGCUCGCCCGCCGCCAGGAACCCACGAAACCCCUUGCAUUAUACGCGAAAACUUCUGAUAACAAACCUAAAUUAUCACAACUUUCAACAAUGGAUCUCUUGGUUCUGGCAUCGAUGAAGAACGCAGCGAAAUGCGAUAAGUAGUGUGAAUUGCAGAAUUCAGUGAAUCAUCGAAUCUUUGAACGCACAUUGCGGCCAUAGGUAUUCCUUUGGCCAUGCCUGUUCGAGCGUCAUUUACACCCUCAAGCCUAGCUUGGUGUUGGGCGUCUGUCCCGCCGUUCUCGCGCGCGGACUCGCCUCAAAGUCAUUGGCGGCGGUCGUGCCGGCCCCCUCGCGCAGCACAUUUGCGCUUCUCGGAGGCCCGGCGGAUCCGCGCUCCAGCAAGACCUUUCACGACUUGACCUCGGAUCAGGUAGGGAUACCCGCUGAACUUAAGCAUAUC
rnacentral:rRNA from 1 species